GACGAACGCUGGCGGCGUGCUUAACACAUGCAAGUCGAACGGUGAAGCGCCUUCCUUUUUGGUGGGUGUGGAUGAGUGGCGAACGGGUGAGUAACACGUGAGUAACCUGCCCCCUUCUUCUGGAUAACCGCAUGAAAGUGUGGCUAAUACGGGAUAUUCUGGGUCUGUCGCAUGAUGGGUCUGGGAAAGAUAUUGUUUCGGUGGGGGAUGGGCUCGCGGCCUAUCAGCUUGUUGGUGGGGUGAUGGCCUACCAAGGCGGUGACGGGUAGCCGGCCUGAGAGGGUGGACGGUCACACUGGGACUGAGACACGGCCCAGACUCCUACGAGAGGCAGCAGUGAGGAAUAUUGCACAAUGGGCGCAAGCCUGAUGCAGCGACGCCGCGUGAGGGAUGGAGGCCUUCGGGUUGUGAACCUCUUUCGCCAGUGAAGCAGGCCUGCCUCGUUUGUGGGUGGGUUGACGGUAGCUGGAUAAGAAGCGCCGGCUAACUACGUG
rnacentral:rRNA from 1 species